CCUGCUCACUGAUAAUUAAAGAGCUGCAGUAUAUUAACUGUACAAAGGUAGCAUAAUCAUUAGUCUUUUAAUUGGGGACUGGUAUGAAAGGUUUUACGGAAAUUAGCUGUCUUUAGUAUAUUUAUAUAAAUUUAAUUUUUUUGUGAAAAAGCAAAAAUUGAGUAAAGGGACAAGAAGACCCUAUUAAACUUUAGUUUUAUUAAUUAUUUUAAAUAAUAAAUUUAUUUUAUUUAAUUAAACUUUAUUUGGGGCGAAUAAUAUGUAAACGAUAUUUUAUUAUUAAUAGUAUUUUUAAAAUUUAAUUUUGAUCCAGGUUGGUUGAUUUUAAGAAUAAGUUACUAUAGGGAUAACAGCGUUAUAUUUUUUAAGAGUUCAUAUUGACAAAAAUGUUUGCGACCUCGAUGUUGGAUCAGGGUGUCUUAAUGAUGAAGAAGUUAUUUAUAGAUGGUCUGUUCGACCAGUAAUAUCCUACGUGAUCUGAGUUCAAACCGGCG
rnacentral:rRNA from 1 species